CGCCUCUUGAAAUAUAUAAGAGGUCCAGCCUGCCCAGUGACUUGUUCAACGGCCGCGGUAUCCUAACCGUGCGAAGGUAGCGUAAUCACUUGUCUUUUAAAUAAAGACUAGUAUGAAAGGCAUCACGAGGGUUAAACUGUCUCCCUUUUCUAAUCAGUGAAACUAAUCUUCCCGUGAAGAAGCGGGAAUUUCCCUAUAAGACGAGAAGACCCUAUGGAGCUUUAAACCGUAAGUUACUUGCCGCCCACCUAUAUAUUUCAGAAAUUUAACAACUUAGGCUUUUUAACCAAACGUUUUAGGUUGGGGUGACCUAGGAGAAAAAAUUACCCUCCUAGCUGAUAUGGGCUAACCCUUAAGAAAAAGCUACAACUCUAACUACCAAUAAAUUGACAUUAAUUGACCCAGUCCGCUGAGCAACGAACCAAGUUACCCUAGGGAUAACAGCGCAAUCUACUUCAAGAGUUCCUAUCGACAAGUGGGUUUACGACCUCGAUGUUGGAUCAGGGUGUCCGAGUGGUGCAGCCGCUACUAAAGGUUCGUUUGUUCAACGAUUAAAACCCU
rnacentral:rRNA from 1 species